UACGUAGGUGGCGAACGUUUAUCCGGAGUGACUGGGUGUAAAGGGUCCGUAGGCGGGGGCUUUAGUCUGACGUGAAAGCGCCCGGCUCAACUGGCGAGUGCGUUGGAAACUGAGUCUCUUGAAUCACGCAGAGGUCGGCGGAAUUCCCGGUGUAGUGGUGGAAUGCGUAGAGAUCGGGAGGAACCUCGAAAGCGAAGGCAGCCGACUGGGGGAUGAUUGACGCUGAGGGACGAAAGCGUGGGGAGCGAACAGG
rnacentral:rRNA from 1 species